rnacentral:rRNA from 1 species
AGUGAACGCUGGCGGUAGGCCUAACACAUGCCAGUCGAACGGCAGCACAGUAAGAGCUUGCUCUUACGGGUGGCGAGUGGCGGACGGGUGAGGAAUACAUCGGAAUCUACUUUUUCGUGGGGGAUAACGUAGGGAAACUUACGCUAAUGCCGCAUACGACCUACGGGUGAAAGCAGGGGAUCUUCGGACCUUGCGCGAUUGAAUGAGCCGAUGUCGGAUUAGCUAGUUGGCGGGGUAAAGGCCCACCAAGGCGACGAUCCGUAGCUGGUCUGAGAGGAUGAUCAGCCACACUGGAACUGAGGCACGGUCCAGACUCCUACGGGAGGCAGCAGUGGGGAAUAUUGGACAAUGGGCGCAAGCCUGAUCCAGCCAUACCGCGUGGGUGAAGAAGGCCUUCGGGUUGUAAAGCCCUUUUGUUGGGAAAGAAAAGCAGCAGGUUAAUACCCCGCUGUUCUGACGGUACCCAAAGAAUAAGCACCGGCUAACUUCGUG